CCUAUCUUCCUCUCAGCCAAGGAUCUCAGUCUCAUCUCACCGCCUCCGAUCAAUCUUCCUCUCUUAGUCCCGACGCCAUCUUCUCUCUUUCCAUCUCAGAUUUGAUAUCCUUCUCCAACGUGAAUCGAUCAUUCACCAAGCGAUAAUGAGUCUUAGGGUUUUAUUCCUCGCUCUCCUUCUCCUUGAAUCUCCUUUGCUUUCGUUAUGCUCUCUCUCUCUCCUUUUCCGUGAAUUUAAUAGAUAUAGAUCAGUUUGUUUAUAGUGGAUUUUGUAGAUCUAGUUCUACUGACGGCGGAUGUGGCGGUUGGGUAAUAUGGGGCCGCAUUUUCCGGUGCUGAGGGAGACUAAGAGAAAACGUGGGUUUAGGUUUUUGGAAGACGUUACAAAGAAAGGUUUUGUCUAAUUUGCCUCUAGCUAUCGCAGAAAUGUUAACCAUUGCUGCUCUCCAUGGCUCUCAGUAAGUUCUAGGGUUUGGAUUUUCCUUUCUGUAAAUUAAUUGAUGCAGUAACUGAUCGGAAUCACAUGUACGCUGCUCCUAUAUGCCUUGGGAUGUUGGUUCUCUUAGCAGCUUCGCUUAUGGCCUGCACUAAUCAGAUCUUUUUUUUCAUAAAUGCAGAGGACAAAUCUUGAUUUAGAAUCAGUGAAGGAGAAAAUGAAGGAGAACCCGAAGAAGAUUAAGUAAUAUCGUUGAGCAAUUAAGCUAAUGCAUCUCAUUUAUGUGGACAAGUCGAGAAGACACAGUUUGCGGACUAAAUUUUUUUGGGAAUGCUCAGAGUGGGAUGUGAAGCAAAUGCAUCAUGUGGUAUGCAAGACAAUGAGCUGAGCGUGGACGACUUACGAUUCUCGAAGACCAACAUGAUGUUUUGAAUUUUUGAUAUAUAUUUUUCUUUUGAACAAUUGUAUUUUUUUUUGCUGUAUUUGUUAAAUUCUUUUAAUUCAAAUUAUAAAAGCUAAU